rnacentral:rRNA from 1 species
GAUGAACGCUGGCGGCGUGCCUAACACAUGCAAGUCGAGCGAUCUUCUUCGGAAGAGAGCGGCGGACGGGUGAGUAACGCGUGGGUAACCUGCCCUGUACACACGGAUAACAUACCGAAAGGUAUGCUAAUACGAGAUAAUAUACUUUUAUCGCAUGGUAGAAGUUUCAAAGCUCCGGCGGUACAGGAUGGACCCGCGUCUGAUUAGCUAGUUGGUAAGGUAACGGCUUACCAAGGCGACGAUCAGUAGCCGACCUGAGAGGGUGAUCGGCCACAGUGGAACUGAGACACGGUCCAAACUCCUACGGGAGGCAGCAGUGGGGAAUAUUGCACAAUGGGCGAAAGCCUGAUGCAGCAACGCCGCGUGAGCGAUGAAGGCCUUCGGGUCGUAAAGCUCUGUCCUCAAGGAAGAUAAUGACGGUACUUGAGGAGGAAGCCCCGGCUAACUACGUGCCAGCCGCCGCAGUAA